UCCUACGGGAGGCAGCAGUGGGGAAUCUUGCGCAAUGGCCGCAAGGCUGACGCAGCGACGCCGCGUGUGGGAUGACGGCCUUCGGGUUGUAAACCACUGUCGGGAGGAACGAAUACUCGGCUAGUCCGAGGGUGACGGUACCUCCAAAGGAAGCACCGGCUAACUCCGUGCCAGCAGCCGCGGUAAU
rnacentral:rRNA from 1 species